GAAUACUGCCGAUUCUAGUCCACUCAUUUCAUUUAAGACAUGAAAUUGGAAUCUUUUUCAUUUUAUUUCGUCAAUUUUGGCUAAGAACUCAGAAGUCAAGUUUCAUUCAAAUUAGUUAAUAAUUAAUCGUUUUGACUGACUGUUUUUACAUAAAUGAUAAGUAGAAAAGCGGUAGGAACUAGAAUAAAUAGUGCAGUAGCAAUAAAUGCAAGAAUAUUUACUUCCAUAAUCUCAUCGGUUUUUUACUUCGCAAUAACUCGGGAUUUAAUCCCAUAGAGAUGAUAAAUCUUUGGCCUGUAAAUUCAAUGAAUGAAUAUUACCUCUCGAUGAUCUUGAAUCAGAUCAAUAUCAUGAAUAACAAUAUCUGAACUAUCAAAUAAAUUCGUCGUCGAGAAUUGAAUAGUAUAACAUAGGAAGUUCUUUUAUCCAUACCGCCCCAAACUCGGAUUGCUGACCUAACCCAAAAUUCCUUUAUUUAUUUAUCAUUUUUUAUUAUCUGUUCUUUUUUUCUCUCUAAUCUAUCUAGUUCCUUCUUGUACAAUCAUCUGAUGAAGUCUCAUCAAAUAGCUCUUCCACUUCCAGUGGUCACAUAGUUACAAACCCAAACAAACAAUAAAAGCUAAAUGGAAAAAGAAAGGAGUUUAGAACGAAACUAUUUUUGACUUGGAAGACAAAGAAGUGUGAUAAAGAUGAGACCGUAUAAAAUGAAUAUUCAUCAAAUUGACUAUUUUCCGAUUUGUUCGUUCGUCGAUGGGGCCUUAAAACAAAAUGAAAAAUAGGAAAAAUGAUUCAUUCGCCUUUCUAAGAGGAGUAGGAUCUUUGGUUGAUCUGUCCUUCCCCCUCCUUUCUUCGUCGAUUAUUAGCCCCGGGACACCUAUACCAAAAGCUCAGUGUGCAAUUUGCAUGAAAUCUAUUUUGCAACUUCAAACUAGUAAGUCAGGUUCCAUAAAUCCGUAGCCAGAAAAAGAAAUUGUUUUUUUUUUUUUUUGUUUUUUCUGGAAAGUAUUUUCUUAUAUUCAAUUUUGUAUUGGACAACAAAGGAAUUCCUUUUGUGUAUGCGCGCCUCAAAAAAGUAUAGUACUCGAUUCCAUUACAUGCAUCGGGGGCAAUCGAAAAAGCCAGCAUUUCUUGGAAUACUGACUAUAAUGCUACCAAUAAUUGUACUAAUCCAACCGCAUAUGUCUUUCUCCUACCAAAAGGAAAGAAAAAAGAAAUAAGGAUUUCCCCUUUGCUUUGACAAUGGAAUUCUUCCCCCGGUCCCCUUCAGAAAAAGGGAGAGAUUUUUUGAUAUAUUUAUUGGAUCCGUCGGGACUGACGGGGCUCGAACCCGCAGCUUCCGCCUUGACAGGGCGGUGCUCUGACCAAUUGAACUACAAUCCCAGGGAAAUACGGGAUCUAGCAGAAAAUUUGAUUCUUUUUUAUCUCCGGAUCGGGUAUUUCUGAAGUACAAAGGGAGUUAUAUCAUCUCAUGGCGGAUUGGCGAAUUAUUGGGCCGAGCUGGAUUUGAACCAGCGUAGACAUAUUGCCAACGAAUUUACAGUCCGUCCCCAUUAACCGCUCGGGCAUCGACCCAGGAAGAAUCAAUUUUCAACUUAUUGGUAAUCCAUGAUCAAUUUCCUUUCGUAGUACCCUACCCCCAGGGGAAUUCGAAUCCCCGCUGCCUCCUUGAAAGAGAGAUGUCCUAAACCACUAGACGAUGGGGGCCCGCUUGACCAACGGCCAUCAUACUAUGAUGAUAGUAUGAUCCGUUUUUUAAAAUUGUCAAUAUAAUCAAAUGAUUCUAGCCGAGGGAUCUUUCCCCCCUUCAGAAUUGCAUAGAAUUGUUUUUUAUUCGUCAUUGACGAAUUAUUCAUUAGAAUCGACAUUAGAAAUCUAGUAGUAGUAUUUUUUUUUAAUUAUUUCAAUUGAAUUUAUUUCUAUUCGAGUCGGUCUUGAAACAAUUCAUUGCAUUUUCUCCUAUACUUCCUAGGUAAAUCCAUUUUAUUAUUCAACAAUGAGCCACUAGACACUAUGUAUCUACUGCACGUACUUAAUGCAUAUAUACUUAUGUUUAUAAUAUAAGUACAUAUAGAUAUUUUAUCCACAUAGUGAAUAAUUCCGGAAUUAAAUAAAAAAGGCCCUUUUAACUCAGUGGUAGAGUAACGCCAUGGUAAGGCGUAAGUCAUCGGUUCAAAUCCGAUAAGGGGCUUUGUAAAACCCCAAUCUAGUAUUCAUAUUUGAUGGGAGAAUUUUCUUUUUAUUUGUAAUAAAAAAAGUAACUAACUGGAUAAUACAUUAUCAUUAUACUUAGUUAUAAAGUUGAACAUUUGUUUAGUCAAUUUUCAUUAGUAUGAAUUUAGGAAUAAUGAAAAGUCACUUCUUGAAUCACCGAAUAUUCCUAUUUUCCAUUAUACCAACCAAAUCGAUUCGAAAGGUUAGAAAUCAACAAAAGAAAAAGUAAAAAGUAAGUGGACCUGACCUAUUGAAUCAUGACUAUAUCCGCUAUUCUGAUAUUAAAAUU
rnacentral:lncRNA from 1 species